rnacentral:rRNA from 1 species
UACGGAGGGUGCGAGCGUUGUUCGGAAUUAUUGGGCGUAAAGGGCGCGUAGGCGGCCUUCUAAGUCGAACGUGAAAUCCCCGGGCUCAACCCGGGAACUGCGUCCGAUACUGGAAGGCUUGAAUCCGGGAGAGGGAUGUGGAAUUCCAGGUGUAGCGGUGAAAUGCGUAGAUAUCUGGAGGAACACCGGUGGCGAAGGCGACAUCCUGGACCGGUAUUGACGCUGAGGCGCGAAAGCCAGGGGAGCAAACGGG